rnacentral:rRNA from 1 species
UACGAAGGGAGCUAGCGUUUUUCGGAAUUACUGGGCGUAAAGGGCGCGUAGGCGGUUUGUUAUGUCAGAUGUGAAAGCCCCGGGCUUAACCUGGGAACUGCAUUUGAAACUGGCAAACUAGAGAUCGAGAGAGGAAAGCGGAAUUACAAGUGUAGAGGUGAAAUUCGUAGAUAUUUGUAAGAACACCGGUGGCGAAGGCGGCUUUCUGGCUCGAUACUGACGCUAAGGCGCGAAAGCGUGGGGAGCAAACAGG